UGGCACAUAUUUCUCCCAACUCUCCCACUUCCUCCUCUGUUUACAAGCGCCCAUUAAGCUAUGCUAACUACGUCACCACAGGCGGGCAUUGAUGCUAGACGUGCUGCCUCCUCCUCAGCCUGUAGAGGGACAGAGGGGCCAGGGGGAAGACAGAGAUAAGGGCCCAUAACUGUUGAUAAAGGACUUUAACGGCUAUAACUGGAGGUGGAGCAGGUGCAGAGAAAGAGAGAGAGAGCAACCAUCUUGGAUGUCUCCUCUUUGCCUGAGGAGAUGCAUUACCCUUUUUGGAUUCCUUAUUAUUAAGGCAUUUCAACUAUGA